rnacentral:lncRNA from 1 species
UGCAUCAUCUUCAGCAUCAACAGUCUAAAGUCUUUUUCCUGGAGGCUGAGAAUCUCCUGAUCACUUAGCUGAUUUUCUGGGGUUUUUUUCUUUCUCUCUCAUCUGAGUUAUAGUUCUCUGUCUUUCCAUUUCCAUAGGUUUUUGGUGUGGUGACCUUUUUCCAGAUAAUAGAGUUGUAGCCUCUCUUACUUCUGGUGCCUGCCCCCCUUGUGGCUAAAGUUGGUAUGGGGCUUGCUGUAGGCUUCCUGAUGGGAGGGAUUGGUGCCUGCCCACUGGUAGGUGGAGCUGAUUCCUACCCCUCUGGUGGGUGGGGCUUUGUCUCUGGGUGAGAUUAGAGGUGGCUGUGUGCUUGGGAGGCUCUUUAGGUAGCCUGUUUACUGAUGGGCGGGGCUGUGAUCCUACCUGGAUUGUUGUUUGGCCUGGGGCUUCUCAGCACUGAUGGGUGGGGCCAGGUUUUCCCAAAAUGGUCACCUUCAGAGAAUGGCAUGCUGCUGAAUAUUCCUGAGAGUUUUGCUUCCAAUGUCCUUCCCUCACAACAAGCCACAUUCACCCCUGUUUUCCAGGACGUUCUCCAAGAACUGCAGUCAGGUUUGACUCAGAUUCCUAUGGAAACUUUGCUUUGCCCUGGGACCCAGUGCAUGUGAAAGACUGGUGUGCCUUUUAAGAAUGGGCUGUCUGUUUCCCCCAGUCCCAUGGAGCUCCUGUGCACAAGCCCCACUGGCCUUCAAUGCCAGAUGCUCCAGGGGUUCUUUCUCCCAGUGCCAGAUCCCCACACAUGGGAGUUUGAUGUGGGGCUCAGAACUCUCACUCCUGUAGGUGAGUCUCUGUGAACCAGUUAGUUUCCAGUCUGUGGGGCUUCCCAGCCAGGAGGUGUGGGGUUGCUUAUGUCAUGUAAUUGCCCCGCCUACCUCUUGAUGUGGCCUUCUCUUUGUCAUUUGGAGUAGGAUAUCUUCUUGAAAGUUUCCAGUCCAUCUGGUUGAAGAUUGUACAUUUUGUUGUUUUUAGGAGAGAAAUUGAGCUCCAGUCCUUCUGUUCUGCCAUCCUAAUCCCAUCCUCUGGACUGAAUCUUGACAGAGAAGAUUUCCUUAAGCAAAGAGGGCUUGGGGAAGAUAGCCACCCCCCCAAACUAGGGGAGCAGGGGUGAGAAAGCUACUGGUGGGGUAUGGUGAGCACCACAGAUGAACAAACCAGAAUAAAUGAACCUGUGAACCAAUAUGUGUGCUAAACUGACACACACAACUGUGGACCCCAGUGGGGACCUAAGUAUGUCAUCACACACUAUCUCCAUGUAAAUUAAUAUCUAUAAGUUAGUAUGUUUUUCUUUCCCCUCCCACAACCAAACUUACUGUUUUUCCUAGCUUUCACUUAGCAGGGGGUAGAAAUCUCAGCACCAUCUUCCACUCUCUCCCUCACCCUUAUCUCCAUCCAGUGACCUAUCAAUUCCACCUCUGUGCUCUCCCUCCUAAUCAUUCCCCUUGUUUCUAACCAGGCUGUCAUCAUCUCUCAUGUCAGCUCUCUGCUUCCAGCCUGUCUCUUCUCUACAACUGAAUUUCCAUGGUGUCUCCAGAGGGAUCUCUCAAAGCACAUUUACAAACUCAUCACUUACAGGCUUAAAAAUCUUGGUUGAGAGAAAUGACAGUACGAGAGAUUAAGAUUUAACAAUAAAGCUACAGGGGACACACCAGCAUCAUACUGGCAAAGGAAUAGGCAGAUCCAUGUAAAAGAACACAGUUCAGAAAUACUCAAUUACUUAAGGGCAUUUAGUAUACAAAGAGAUGGCUUUUCAUACGGGUGGGGAAAAAUUAAUUACUGAAUAAAUGGUGUUAGGAACUCCAUGCAACAUCUUAAAAAAAAAGGAAUUGGUCUUUAAAUCUUUCCUUAUACCAAAAUUAAUAAAAUAAUCAAAUUUCAGAGUGUAAAAUAUGAGCAAUGAAAGUACUAGAAAAUAAACAUUCAAAAAAUGGUGUUGGGGCAUUCCCAUUGUGGCUCAGUGGUUAACGAAUCCGACUAGGAUCCAUGAGGUUGCGGGUUCGGUCCCUGCCCUUGCUCAGUGGGUUAAUGAUCCGGCGUUGCCAUGAGCUGUGGUGUAGGUUGCAGAUGCGGCUCGGAUCCCGCGUUGCUGUGGCUCUGGCAUAGGCCGGAGGCUACAGCUCCAACUAGACCCCUAGCCUGGGAACCUCCAUAUGCUGCGGGA